GUGCUCUCUUUGGCAGCAUGCAGGUUAAAAAUUGGAAUGACACAGAGAUUAGCACGACCCUUGCCAAAAAGGAUACACAAAUUUCAAGAAAUAUUUCACAUUUAA